GAUGAACGCUGGCGGCGUGCCUAAUACAUGCAAGUCGAACGAACAGACGAGGAGUUUGCUUCUUUGACGUUAGCGGAGGACGGGUGAGUCACGUGAGGAUAACCUCCCUAUAAGACUGGGAUAACUUCGGGAAACCGGAGCUAAUAGCGGACAAUAUAUUGAACCACAUGGAUCAAUAGUGAAAGACGUUUUUGCUGUCACUUAUAGAUGGAUCAGCGCCGCAUUGGCUAGUUGGUAAGGUAACGGCUUACCAAGGCAACGAGGCGUAGCCGACGUGGUAGGGUGAUCGGCGACACGGGAGGGUGACCGCCGUCCCUGCGACUGCGGGAGGGAGCAGUAGGGAAUCGGCCGCAACGGUCGGAAGCCUUACAGAGCAACGCCGCGUGAGAGAUAAAGGUCUUCGGAUCGUAAAACUCUGUUAUUAGUGAAGAACAAAUUUGAAAGUAACUAUACACAUCUUGACGGUACCUGAACAGAAAGCCACGGCUAACUACGUG
rnacentral:rRNA from 1 species